GUUUAAAUAGUGUAAUUGCAACACUUAACAUUUUCGUUGUUAAAAUCUUUUUCAGUUUAAAUUUUAU
rnacentral:tRNA from 1 species